rnacentral:rRNA from 1 species
UGCUGCUUCGCUGACGAGUGGCGGACGGGUGAGUAAUGUCUGGGAAACUGCCUGAUGGAGGGGGAUAACUACUGGAAACGGUAGCUAAUACCGCAUAACGUCGCAAGACCAAAGGGGGGGACCUUCGGGCCUCUUGCCAUCGGAUGUGCCCAGAUGGGAUUAGCUAGUAGGUGGGGUAACGGCUCACCUAGGCGACGAUCCCUAGCUGGUCUGAGAGGAUGACCAGCCACACUGGAACUGAGACACGGUCCAGACUCCUACGGGAGGCAGCAGUGGGGAAUAUUGCACAAUGGGCGCAAGCCUGAUGCAGCCAUGCCGCGUGUAUGAAGAAGGCCUUCGGGUUGUAAAGUACUUUCAGCGGGGAGGAAGGGAGUAAAGUUAAUACCUUUGCUCAUUGACGUUACCCGCAGAAGAAGCACCGGCUAACUCCGUGCCAGCAGCCGCGGUAAUACGGAGGGUGCAAGCGUUAAUCGGAAUUACUGGGCGUAAAGCGCACGCAGGCGGUUUGUUAAGUCAGAUGUGAAAUCCCCGGGCUCAACCUGGGAACUGCAUCUGAUACUGGCAAGCUUGAGUCUCGUAGAGGGGGGUAGAAUUCCAGGUGUAGCGGUGAAAUGCGUAGAGAUCUGGAGGAAUACCGGUGGCGAAGGCGGCCCCCUGGACGAAGACUGA